GGGCAUGUAGUCCAAUGGUAAGACGGCAGAUAUCUUCCUUCUGAGAAUCCAGUGUUCGAUUCCUGGCGUGCCCC